rnacentral:RNase_P_RNA from 1 species
GCCACGCCCCGGGCGGUCGCGCGGUGGAGACUUCGGUCGUCCGCCGUGAGGAAAGUCCGGACUCCGCAAGGUAGCGUGCCUUGUGAAAGCAAGGGAGCGCCGGCCUCAAAACCGACGCGACGGAAAGUGCCGCAGAAAAUAUACCGCCGAUGGAUGGGCCCAGCCCGUCACAGGUAAGGUUGAAAUGGUGGAGUAAGAGCCCACCGCCCGUCCGGGUAACCGGCGGGGCACGGUAAACCCCACGCGGAGCAAGACAUAACAGAGGAAACGGGUCACCUGCCCGGACCGCAACGCUUCGGCUGCGCGGAUGCUCUCGGGUUCUCGUCGCACCCAGCCCUUCACACGGUUGGGAUCACCGCCCCUGCGGCUGUGAUAGAUAAAUGGUCGCCCAUCGCGGUCGGUUCGCCGCCCGCGUGGACAAAAUCCGGCUUACAGGGGCGUGGCACCU